GUGACCAAGUAAUACAUUCCUAUAUUUUUAAUCUUACAAUCCGCCCUUUGGCAACAUGGGCCACACGUAAGAAGAUCCAUGAUGACACAGUUCAUAAGAUUAUGCUUUCAGUUGUGUGCAGUGGUCAUCUUCAGACUUAAGGCUCGUACAGACUACAUGACUUUGAAACGUAGGUCCAAACUGUGCGGUUCACACUACAUGACUUGCUCUCUGUGAAAUCAGGGGUGUUCACGUUGUUGAGCAGUUCACACCACACGACACAACGUGAAUGCCCCACAACAGGAGGUAACGCACUACACGAGUUGAGAACAACUCUAUUACCCAACGAUUCUAUCUUGUCUACAAACCACGUUCUGUCACGAAAAAUCACGCGAUAAAACAAACCGGAAAUGACGCGAAACAACACGCGCGCCGGUAAAAACCCACAGAAGAAGAAACAAGAAGACGCGCAAAACUUUUGUUUGUAUAUAUAGACUUCAGACAGAAAUAAGUGCUGCAAACCGUUUGCGCGAUGCAAAGCCGCAAAAUAAAAAAAUUAUAGAGAUGUGAUGUGGAGAGGUGGAUCAGAACCACACGCGGACAGCAUGGAUUAAAGAUUUGAGAAUAGGACAGGCUUCGCAAAACAUGAUUUGGAGAGCGUUUGUCUUUGACCCUGCGAUUCUAUGCAACAGGUGACACGUUCAAGUUCCUCAGGUUCAAGUCCAGGAUGGGAGACCAGCACCAUCUCACAAAUAGUUUUGGAUGUUCUGCUCUGUACCAGGUUAUAAAGGACAAUUUCUUGAAGACACCAUCAACGGAAGGAGAGUGGCAUACAAUAGCCAUGGACUUCGAAAGGAAGUGGCAGUUAUUGCUUUGGGGUACUUGCUACCACUCCAGCUGUAGCAGACUGCUGACCACAACAUGGUUAAUGGGAAGUGGAAGAAUCAUGGGAUGUGUGCUUUUCAACCGAUAAAAUACACCUCACAUCGCAAUUGUAUGGCAACAGCAAAAGUGCAAUGCAAUCUGAUGCGGGAUUACUUUGUCUCAACAGCGAGUAGUGUUUAUUGGCAAGUUCAUCACAUUUUAAAAGGAACUGAUGUAGAGUUAUCCUUGCAAACAGCAGAUUAAAGCCAGUUAUUGUCAGUUUAGGACAUUCGUUUUCUUGUGUGUUCUAAAGUCCUGUAUUUGUAAAGAACAUAAAUGUGGUUCACUUAUUCAUUGUUUUAAGUAUUCUGUUUAUUGUUGUUAUUAUUCAAUUAAUUUUAAUUGCAUACAAAUCAAAAGGUGCAGGAAUGUACCAAAGGCAAUCUGCAUGUUGCAAUUAAGUGCCUUAUUCUAACUUUAUUUCUUGAUCCACACUCAUUAUUCACAGAACAAUAACAAUGUUUCUAUACUAGGGCGAUUAAACAUCAACAUAUCUGAUCAUGAUAAAAUUUAUGGCGAUUGUGAUGAUAAGCUCUGGGCAUUUUUACUCAAUGUGGAUUAAUCUAACAGCCAAUCACACACAAUUAUAUUACGAUAUUUAUAUAUCACCCAGCCAUUAAAGGAGCUCUACAUAGGGAGUUUGGAACGUUUAAUUGUGUUAAUGUGGCGCACUGCAUGUGUUCUAACAAUGUAUAUAUUUGUCUGUUCACAUAAUAUACAUUCAAAUGUACUACAUUGCACUAUUCAUAUUGCCUGUUUUUGUAAAAUAUGACUCAGUGUGUUUUAUACUUUUAUACUUUGUUGCAUUAAAUGUAUUACUUUCCGAUAUACCAUUUAUUUUAUGAAACAGCACUGGGAAAUUCAAUCUAAACCCUUUAACAAGUUUAAUCACCUUAUUGAUAAAUGUAAUACAUAGUAAAGUCAAUAGUUUGUAAACAAAAACCAGCCCAGUCUCACGAAAUUUCGUUAUAUAGUCACGUAUUUUUUUGAUUCUUUUUUCGUGCUAUUAUCACGAAAUUUCGUGUUUUUUCGUAGUCGUAUAACGAAUUCCUGUUUUCGUGUGAUUAUCACGUAUUGGUUACUCGACUGUUUUGUCCUAUUUUCUUACCAUUGUCGCUUCGGUUUAGGGUUAGAUUUACAUAAAAUGACAUCCCUAACCAAACCCAACUCUAACCCUAACGCCAGGCGACAUAUAAAAGAAUAAAUCAGGAAAAACAGUGUAGAUCAAUAUAUUAAGUGACAUUCUAAUGCAAGCACCAAAUCUAACCCUAAACCGAAGCGACAAUGGUUUAAAAAUAGGAAAAAACAGUCGAGUAACCAAUACGUGAUAAUCACACGA